UUGGGAUGCCGGCUCCAGGACAUUGUCAUACCUCCCACACUCUGUGACAGCGCCAUGGCAGCUGCAACUGCCAUCUCAUCAUCUCAGUCCCUCUGUCUGGGAGACUUCUCUUGCGAGUCUCUCCUCCCCCGCUGUUGGCAGCUUCUCCCACUGGGAUUUCAGUCCCUCCUUCCCAAGGUCAUGGGCUCCAGCAGCCUCAUUGUGAUCCUUCAGGAUGUGCCCAAACAGCCUGAAUUGCAGCCCUCCAUCAGAUACAAACCAAAAAGCACCAGAAUCAUCACCAGGCACCUGAUCUGGGGCCUUGUGACAGCGAGGUCCCCACAGCUUCCCCAGCACUUCCCACAUUGAUCUUGGUGGCUGAGUGGGCAGCUCAGGGAUCACAGGGAGCUGUUGGUGU